rnacentral:rRNA from 1 species
AUUGAACGCUGGCGGCAUGCUUUACACAUGCAAGUCGAACGGUAACAGGCCGCAAGGUGCUGACGAGUGGCGAACGGGUGAGUAAUGCAUCGGAACGUGCCCAGUCGUGGGGGAUAACGCAGCGAAAGCUGCGCUAAUACCGCAUACGAUCUAUGGAUGAAAGCGGGGGACCGUAAGGCCUCGCGCGAUUGGAGCGGCCGAUGUCAGAUUAGGUAGUUGGUGGGGUAAAGGCUCACCAAGCCGACGAUCUGUAGCUGGUCUGAGAGGACGACCGGCCACACUGGGACUGAGACACGGCCCAGACUCCUACGGGAGGCAGCAGUGGGGAAUUUUGGACAAUGGGCGCAAGCCUGAUCCAGCAAUGCCGCGUGCAGGAAGAAGGCCUUCGGGUUGUAAACUGCUUUUGUACGGAACGAAAAGGCUCUGGUUAAUACCUGGGGCUCAUGACGGUACCGUAAGAAUAAGCACCGGCUAACUACGUG